CUCAUAAAUCAAAGUGAUUUUUUAACACAAAAAGUAAGUAAAUCUCUAAUGAAUCAUAAAGUAUGAUAUAAACCUAAUAUUUUUUUUUAUUAGUUCUAAUUUCACAAAUUAGUAAAUAUUUGCUAUUUCAAAAUUUUAUUAAUAGCAACCAAUCCAUCUGCCUGAAGCAACAAAGAUAUCCAAUACAUUUUUUAACAACGUUCUAUCAGUAUGUUCUCCCUUAUGUUCUCUUUCAAUUACAGCAUCUUUUGGCUUUAUGAUUUAAAGCAUCAAAAACCAGAUCCUGUCGCAACGCUGAGGAAUUUCAACCUUAGGUUUUUUAAUCCACAAUAAACCAUAACACAGUUACAACAUUUUCAAAUUCAACUUUUGCUAAUCUCUGAGAUAGCCUCUUCAGGUCUGCAACUUCAUAUCUAAAUCAUUCCAAUCUAAAAAUUAAAAAAGAAUUCCCCAAACCAAACGAAACUAAUCAAAUCCUAAAAUAACUAAGCUUUAAUUUGGCAGUGGUGGCGGCGAGGGCUUCACGAGCGGCGGUGCGGUUUCUUUGUAGAUGGCAUUUGUUGCAAUACCCCGCCAUCGCGUGGCUCCGGAUCGCAGCCAUGAAUUGUUAUCACUGUUGCUUUGGCUCCAUGAACUCGCAGGUGCUGUUGUGCUUUGGACAUGGAGAAGAUGAAGCUUGGAGAAGACAAAGAAAGAAGGAGAAAAUGAGGGAAAAAAAAAAGGAAAACAAAAGGAAGCUGGAGAUGACGAAGACAAAAGACAGCGGACAAAAGAUAUAUAAGUAAAAUUAAUCUAUUUUUAAUUGCAGCUCGCGUCGAAGUGCAAAUUAUAUGGAUAUUAUUAAAAUAAUUGUCACUAGUGUAAUAAAAUAUCAAAA
rnacentral:lncRNA from 1 species